rfam:TPA: Bos taurus chromosome 26, whole genome shotgun sequence.
UCCCUGGUGGUCCAGUGGUUAGGAUUCUGUGCUUUCACUACCGAGGGCUUGGGUUCAAUCCCUGGUUGGGGAA